CCCUGGCUCAGGACGAACGCUGGCGGCGUGCCUAAUACAUGCAAGUCGAGCGGAAUGAUGAAGAAGCUUGCUUCUUCUGAUUUUAGCGGCGGACGGGUGAGUAACACGUGGGCAACCUACCUUGUAGAUUGGGAUAACUCCGGGAAACCGGGGCUAAUACCGAAUAAUCCAUUUUGCUUCAUGGCAAGAUGUUGAAAGGCGGCUUCGGCUGUCACUACGAGAUGGGCCCGCGGCGUAUUAGCUAGUUGGUAGGGUAAUGGCCUACCAAGGCGACGAUACGUAGCCGACCUGAGAGGGUGAUCGGCCACACUGGGACUGAGACACGGCCCAGACUCCUACGGGAGGCAGCAGUAGGGAAUCUUCCACAAUGGACGAAAGUCUGAUGGAGCAACGCCGCGUGAGUGAAGAAGGUUUUCGGAUCGUAAAACUCUGUUGUAAGGGAAGAACACGUACGAGAGUAACUGCUCGUACCUUGACGGUACCUUAUUAGAAAGCCACGGCU
rnacentral:rRNA from 1 species